rnacentral:lncRNA from 10 species
AGACUAGAACUAAACCCAGCUCUCUUGGAUCUCCAGCUUGCUGACCCACCCUGCAGAUCUUGGGACUUGUCCACCUACAUAAUCAUCACCACAGUACCUAGCUCAUAUUGUUGAAGAAAUGAAUAAAUGACCGCAUUAUUUUCAUUUGCAUCCAAGUGAGUUGCACUGAAAAGUUUGGACUCCUGAUUCAAAAGGGUAUCUGCAACAGGUCUCCUUCUGUCUGGUGUCUAUCAAACAUCUCGACAGCUUCUUCAGAAGGUUGGAGAAAUAUUUGGGAAAUGCAGAUAUCUUUUUCGAACCAUUUUUACAGGUGGCUUCAGUGUCUGUACAAUGUAGUUAUUACAGGUAAGUAUGUGACUGUUUACAUCUGUUGUUUUCAUAAGCUUUAAAGCUUAAAUCAUCAUUAGUUGUUGUUUACGACUAACUGUGGCACUCAAACCAUUCUUUCAGCCUAUACGACAUAACACCGUCUCAGAUUUCUUUUUUAUUUACUCAAUUUGACCAUGGCAGUAUUUUGAGUUUAUUUAAGGAACUUGUUUAUUUUGCUAUUCUCAUUGGUAGAUGCCUGUUUUAAACUUAAUGUAACAAGUAUAAAGAAACAUAAAGAGAUUUUUUCAAGUUCACUAAAGAAUUCAGUGGAAAGGCCUGGAAUCAAAGAACAGAUAUAAUUUUGUGCUUAUAGAGUAUAUCAAAUUUUGUUAGAAUAAAUUCUGCAUGAUUUUUCAUAAGAGCUUUAUCUUUGUACUUCACAUAUUCCAAUUUAUAUGAAGCUUCUCCUUGAAAGGGCACCACAUGCUAUACAAAAUGAAACGUGUUUAUUUGUGGUUAAUAAUUCUCAGGGGUCAUAAUGUGCUUGAUAAACACAUUAUAUACAGAAUCACAAAAAGACAGUGAGACUUGAAACCUGGGAUUUCUAUCAUUAAAACAGAUGGGAAAACAUCUGGCAUAUUCCAUAACAUCAGUCACACAGUACCCUCACUAAUGCCACAGAAGACAUCAAUUUCACAAUACUGGGUCAGUGACUGAAUUUCAGGCAAUGCCAUUCAGGCAAAUUGUGAAAGAUUAGAUAUUUGCGAAGGAAAAGUAUUUUAUAAACAGUAACAAACAUUUAUGAAAUGCCUUAUGAAUAUUAUCUCAGUUCAUCCUCAUAAUUCUUUGUGGUAAAUAUCUUCAUUUCAAAGAUGAGGGCACUGAGGUUCAGAGAGAUUGUCUUGCCUAAGCCAAAGAGCAGAGCCAGGAUUCAAACUCAGCUCUGUCCCACUCCAGUGCCAUUACACCACACUGCUUCCUAAACAUUUAAUUACUGUUUUCAAAACAAGAACAUUAGAGGGGGAAAAAAAUCAAACAAGAACUUACUUGUUGGAAAGAAAAAAUUCAGCAAAGCUUCCAAUGCGGAAUCUUCUUCCAGAGAUUGGCCAUGAGCAUUUUCACUGUUGGGCAGGAUAUGUCCAUUUGCAAGCACAAAAUAUGAGGACCCUUAAGAAGAAGUAAAAUUAUUAAUCCCAACAUAUAAAGCAUUUAUCACUUUCAAUGACCCUUGAAUGGUAAUUACCUUUGCUUAAAUUAAUUAUAGAAUGUCAAAUAGCUAACAGAUAUACUUUCAUCUCAUAACAGCUUAAGCAUCAUUAAUAAUCAGAAUGCAAUUUUGUUGUGAAACUGAAAAAGUGUUAAAUUUACAAAUGCUUAAGCUAUAGGCUGACACAUGCCAUUGUUGUAAGCUGAUUUACAAUAGUAAACUUGCCUCUGACAAAUGGCAUUAAGAGGCCUAAUCAACUGAUGAGCUGAAAACAGUAUGUAUUCCAACUAAAUCAGAUCCCAUCACAGAAAGUCUUGGAAAAUAUGUUGGCUUACAUAUAUAUUGACAAAAAUCAAGGCCUUACAUACAGUAAAACCUUCCUUAUCCUUCUUUCUCACUAUUUUAAAGAACUGGUUUUUAGUCUUAUUUACACAAUUCCCUCCUACAUGAGAGAAGAGGAUAACACAGAUUUGUCCAUAGCAUUAAAUAUUUCCCAAAACUAUCUUUAAUAAUGUCACAGAAUUCCAUUAUAUGGCUCUAUUAUAACUCAGUUAGCAAUUUCUCCAUAGGAAAACAUUUAGGCUGUUUACAAUUUAUUGAUGUUAUAAAGAACACUGCAAUGAUUAUCAUUACAUUAUCGUUAGCUUGCAAUGAUUAUCACUGAAGCUUUAUAUUUAUAUAUUUGCAAAUAUUCAUGAAAAAUUACUUAAGAUAAAUUCUUAAGGCAUGGUGGCUCUUGAGUAUGUCCAAAUUACCCUCCAGCAGGGCAACCCUAAAAUACACUUCUACCAGUAGUACAGGCAAGUGCCAGUUUUCUGACACCUCUCCAUUUUUUAUUAUUUGCCAAUUUGAUGGCCAAAAUAAAACAAAAUAUCUUUUGUUUUAAUUUGCAACUUUCAUAAUCAGUGAGCUUACAUAUUUCAUAUUGUGUUGCAUAGUAGAGAACUUAACUCUUAAUCUGCCACAUAUUUAAAAUAUUUUUUUCAAGGUAAUUGGUUAUCCUUACUUUUUUAUGGUGUUUGGGAAGCUCAGAAGCUUAAAAUGUUAUAUGUAAUUAAAUCUAUCAAUCUCUUCCUUUAUUAUUUUUACCUCUAUAAAGGCAUUCUAUACUCUAAUACUCCCAACAUUUUCAUGGUUGUACUUUUUAAAUUUAAAUAUUUAAUACACCUGGAGUAUAUUUUGGAGUGUGUUGUGGAGUAGGGAUACGAUUUUUCCAGCAGUCAUAAGGCCCUUUAUUAAAUCCAUCCUUUUCUGUUAUACUUAAGAUAACAUCAUCACAUUCUAAAUCCUUACUAUAUCCUUAUAGUCAUAGAUCUGCUUCUUGACUUUCUAUUCUGUUCCACCAACCUAUCUAUUCAUGUGCCAAUACUAAUGUUAUUGUUUAUUUUAUCUUUUCUUUUAUUUUUUUUUUGAGACAGAGUAUCGCUCUGUUGCCCAGGCUGGAGUGCAAUGGCGCAAUCUCAGCUCACUGCAACCUCCGCCUUCCUGGUUCAAGUGAUUCUUGUGCCUUGGCCUCCCGAGUAGCUGAGAUUACAGGCAUGCACCAUCACGCUCAACUAAUUUUUGUAUUUUUAGUAGAGACGGGGUUUCACCAUGUUUCCCAGGCUGGUAUCGUGAUCCACCUGUCUAGGCCUCCGUAAGCCACUGCACCCGGCCUAUCUUAUGUCAUUAUGUUUUAAUAACUGAUCUGGUAAUCCUUUCAUUGUCUCUACUAUCAAAUUUUAUUUUCAGCUCUGAGAAUUUUUUAGAUGAACCUUAAAAUCGUUUUGUCAAGUCAAAAAAAAUUCUAAAUUUUAUGGUAAUUAUGUUCACUUAUUUAUCAUUCAUUCAAAAAUCAUUUAUUGUGUGUCCCACGUGCUAGGCAUGAAUUCAAUUAAAUGUAGACUCAUUUGGAGAGAAUUGAUAAUGUUACAAAAUUUUUUCACCUAAGUAGUUUUGUUUCUCUGUUCAUUCAAGUCUCUUUUUAUGUCCCUGAAUAAGGUUUAUCAUUGUAUUCAGAUAGGCCCUGCACUUUUCUUAGUACAUUUAUUCCCAGGCAUCAUAUAUAUUUUGUUGUUUUGUGAACAUAAUCCAUUUCACCACAUUUUCUAGUGGAUUGAUGGUAUGUAAGAGAGCUAUUGAUUUUUAUACAUAUAUUUUCUUCCUCCCUUAGUUAACUCUCGUUAGUUCUCAUUGUUCUUCAGUUUCAUUCCAGAUAGACAAUAAUAUUAUCACUAAAUAUAGAUGACUUUGUCUCCUUUCUUUACAAUAUUAACACCUGAAUUAUUUUUCUUCUUUCACUGUAUUGCCUAGAAAUGUUUAAACUAUGUUGAUUAAUAACCAUAAUAAUGGGCGUUCUUGAGUCAUUCCUGACUUUAAUGGGAAUGUGCUAAUAUUUCAUAAUGAAGUAUAAUGUUGGCUGCUGGUGUAAGAUAGAUACCCUUUAUUAAAUUAAGGAUGUAUUUCUCUAGUUUUAGUUUUCUACAAAUUUUCUGUUGUUAUUUUGUUUCAUUUUGAAUCAGGGAUAGAACUGGGAUUCUAUCAAAUCCUUUUAAUAUUUACUGCCAUGAUGAUAUUUCCCCCUGCCUAUUAAUUAUUGAAUGUUAUUAAUAUAUUUGCCAAUAUUAAAAUAUUCUUGCAUUCUUGAACAAAGUCCACAAGUGCUAAUGUUUUAUAUAGGAUUCAUGAUUCAACAUUCCUAAGUGAAGUGUGUCUGCAGUUUUCUUUUGUGUGCUACAUCUGUAAAUUUUGGCAUAAGAGUUAUACCUGUUUCAUUCAUAAAAUAACCUAGGAAGCUUCCUGUUGCUUUUCUAGACUAAAACAGAUGAAACAAUAUAGGAAUGAUUUGAUCCAUUAAAGGUUUGGGAAAACUCAUCCAGAAAAAGUCUGAGUCUUCAUUUUUUGGAGAGGGGUAGUUCUUUAUCUUUUGCUUCUUCAUGGUCACAGUUAAUUUUGUUAUUUUUAUUUUGCUAGGAAAUCAUCUAUUUACAAAGCAAUUAUUAGCAUGGAAUCAUAAGACUAUUCACUUGUAAUAUUUAAAUCUCCUUUAUAUCAAUGAUAAUAUCUUCUUUCUCAUUUUAAUGAGAGCAACUUCCAUACACAUACAUUUGAAUGUGUACUCUCACAAUGAACUCUAUUAUAAAUGUUAAAUCAAGCUAAAUUAUAUUAUGCAAAUGCUCUGUAUCUUUAUUUUUCUGUCAAGGACUAAAAGAUAAAUAUUAAA